rnacentral:rRNA from 1 species
GACGAACGCUGGCGGCGCGCCUAACACAUGCAAGUCGAACGGAGCUUAGAGAGCUUGCUUUUUAAGCUUAGUGGCGAACGGGUGAGUAACGCGUGAGUAACCUGCCCUGGAGUGGGGGACAACAGUUGGAAACGACUGCUAAUACCGCAUAAGCCCACGGUACCGCAUGGCACUGAGGGAAAAGGAUUUAUUCGCUUUAGGAUGGACUCGCGUCCAAUUAGCUAGUUGGUGAGGUAACGGCCCACCAAGGCGACGAUUGGUAGCCGGACUGAGAGGUUGAACGGCCACAUUGGGACUGAGACACGGCCCAGACUCCUACGGGAGGCAGCAGUGGGGGGAUAUUGCACAAUGGGGGGAAACCCUGAUGCAGCGACGCCGCGUGGAGGAAGAAGGUUUUCGGAUUGUAAACUCCUGUCGUUAGGGACGAUAAUGACGGUACCUAACAAGAAAGCACCGGCUAACUACGUG